ACUGCAGGGAAAAGUCCCACAGAGCUGAGCAGUCAUGAUGUGUGACUUCACCGAGGAUCAGACUGCAGAGUUCAAGGAGGCCUUCCAGCUGUUUGACCGAAUAGGUGAUGGCAAGAUCCUGUGCAACCAAUGUGGGGAUGUGAUGAGGGCACUGGGUCAGAACCCCACCAACACUGAGGUGCUCAAGGUUCUAGGGAACCCCAAGAGUAAUGAGAUGAACGUGAAGGUGCUAGAAUUUGAGCACCUUCUGCCCAUACUGCGGCCAAGAACAAGGACCAGGGCACUUAUGAAGAUUAUGUAGAAGGACUUCAGGUGUUUGACAAGGAAGGAAAUGGCACCGUCAUGGGUGUUGAAUUCUGGCUUGUUCUUGUCACACUGGGUGAGAAGAUAACAGAGGAAGAGGUAGAGGUGCUGGUGGCAGGGAAUGAGGGCAGCAAUGGUUGUAUCAACUAUGAAACAUUUGUGAGGCACAUCCUGUCGGGGUGACAGGCCCAUGGGGCAGCUCAUCCUUAUGGUGCUGAAUGGCUGAGGACCUUCCCAGUCUCCCAUAGCCCAUGUCUCCCCCUGGUG